rnacentral:tRNA from 1 species
GGGGCGGUGGCGGAACAGGCAGACGCAGCAGACUUAAAAUCUGCCGGGGGAGACCCCUUGUGGGUUCAAGUCCCACCCGCCCUA